rnacentral:lncRNA from 1 species
UCGAGCUCAUCUGGAUUGCGGCUGUAUGUGUGCAAUUUGGUAUGAAUAUCGCCCUUCCCUGAGUCUCCUACCCACCAUGGGAACUUUUGGCACAUAUUCGAUCCAGAUGCAUGAUUAUUGUUGAGAUCAUUCGAUGAUUCUGUUAGCACUUUAAUAUGAACCUCUCGAAUAUUGUUAUGAUUUUGUUAGCACUACCAUACGCUGAUUAGGUCACUUGUUGAGUUAUUCCAGAACCUAUUAUGCUCUUUUGCAGAGUUUCUUUGGUUGAAACUAUCAGCUGUGCCUAUGUUUAAUAAUUCUAAAAUAUAUCAAUAUAUCUGCUCCGUCUAGAGAGGAUAGGGGGCUGCUUGGGCAUGGCGCAGCAGGGCAUGUCAAUAUAGUUUGGAGUCUGGGAAAGGGAGUGCUCUGCACCUAGGUAAAUUAGCAACACGUACUCCUACUUCUCAAAAUAUGCAUGUUUGGAGAUUAGUUUUUAUUUUCUUAAGAUCUCUAUAGAAUUUUUGUCUGGAUAACUAAAAGUAUUUGUUCAGAGUACUUUGAUUUCUUAAAAUUUUGGUCAAUCAAAGAUAUAUUCCAUUUUGUUUCAGAAUAGGAUGUACUUUCCUUACAGGAUAGACAACAUGGAUAAGAAUGUGUACAUUCAAGCUUAAGGCUUUGGACAUGUUUUAGGAUACAUUUGGUCCCUUUGAUUGCGGCUCUAUUUUUUUUUCAUAGCAAGUCUAGCAGGGUGUGCACAGGUUUUUGCAGAAGCAUAAUAUAGAUGGAAAUGUGACAAGAGUGGAGCUGCCAGUUGGGUUUUUAACCUACUUUUGAUCUUGUGUAACUACAAACUGUCCAGUCCCACAAAGAAGUUAAAUCUUUUUUUUUUGCAGAAAAUUGGCUAUAAGUUGGCUUCCAUGGACAUGCAUUUCUCAACGUAUGAUAUCCUCCCGACUCUGACUGAACUAUGUUUGAUGCAAAUUCAGACAUGCUCUGCAUUUUUUGGUAGGAAUUUUAAGCUCUAAAGACAUAAUUAAUCAGAAGAAAAAGAGAUCCUUCUGGUUUGCUAGCAAAAAUAUUUCUACACUAACUGAUGCAACUGCUGGCAGAUAGCAAUGCGGGCUGCAGAGAUCGUCUGCGUAGCUCUGCGGGCGUUGAUGUUAAUCCUGUCGAAGUAGCCGUCACAAACUCCAAGAAUUGUUUUGACUUUGCGCUCAUGAAAUGCUUUUUGUCUAUUUUUUUUUUAUUGAUCCGAAGACAGGGAUCAACUGAACUAUUUUUCAGUUUGCAUCCUCUGCUUUUUCACAGUUCUUUCAGGAUUUGCUUAUUCACAAAUGUCUGUGCUGUUUCUGCAGGCAUUAUUAUGUCACCUUCAGCAUUGGGGAUCCGGCCAAGCCUUACUUCCUGGGUAGCCCAAGUUUGGUUGACUGUUGGUUGUGCAGUCCUUUAUUCUGUAACUGUACCUUGACUCCCAAGGCAUGCAGUGUCAUUUGUUUCUUGUAAACUUGUCUUACCUUUCAUGCAUUUGUCUGUUUAGAUAUUGUAAUUUGAUUUUUUUGCUUCUCCGUAGAACAAAGCAGGAGGUAUGGCAUGUAAUCUAUUGGAAAUGUGUUGAUGUACUUCUUAAGAGGAAGGUUGUUGACAAUAACCACACGUAAUUUUCUGGCAUCUCUGCCUAUUCUCUGUACUAACACAUGCUGGU